GUUGGCCCAACUGAUUGAACGUGCUUGCACGGACUUGACGUUGGUUUACCAGCGAGUGGCGGACGGGUGAGUAACACGUAGGUAACCUGCCCCAAAGCGGGGGAUAACAUUUGGAAACAGAUGCUAAUACCGCAUAACAAUUUGAAUCGCAUGAUUCAAAUUUAAAAGAUGGCUUCGGCUAUCACUUUGGGAUGGACCUGCGGCGCAUUAGCUUGUUGGUAGGGUAACGGCCUACCAAGGCUGUGAUGCGUAGCCGAGUUGAGAGACUGAUCGGCCACAAUGGAACUGAGACACGGUCCAUACUCCUACGGGAGGCAGCAGUAGGGAAUCUUCCACAAUGGGCGCAAGCCUGAUGGAGCAACACCGCGUGAGUGAAGAAGGGUUUCGGCUCGUAAAGCUCUGUUGUUAGAGAAGAACGUGCGUGAGAGUAACUGUUCACGCAGUGACGGUAUCUAACCAGAAAGUCACGGCUAACUACGUGCCAGCAGCCGCGGUAAUACGUAGGUGGCAAGCGUUAUCCGGAUUUAUUGGGCGUAAAGCGAGCGCAGGCGGUUUGAUAAGUCUGAUGUGAAAGCCUUUGGCUUAACCAAAGAAGUGCAUCGGAAACUGUCAGACUUGAGUGCAGAAGAGGACAGUGGAACUCCAUGUGUAGCGGUGGAAUGCGUAGAUAUAUGGAAGAACACCAGUGGCGAAGGCGGCUGUCUGGUCUGCAACUGACGCUGAGGCUCGAAAGCAUGGGUAGCGAACAGGAUUAGAUACCUCGGGUAGUCCCCUUCA
rnacentral:rRNA from 1 species